CAGUAGCCGCGGGAAUACGAAGGGGGCUAGCGUUGCUCGGAAUGACUGGGCGUAAAGGGCGCGUAGGCGGAUGGUACAGUCAGACGUGAAAUUCCUGGGCUCAACCUGGGGACUGCGUUUGAGACGUGCGAUCUAGAGUUUGGAAGAGGGUCGUGGAAUUCCCAGUGUAGAGGUGAAAUUCGUAGAUAUUGGGAAGAACACCGGUGGCGAAGGCGGCGACCUGGUCCUUGACUGACGCUGAGGCGCGAAAGCGUGGGGAGCAAACAGGAUUAGAUACCCCGGUAGUCCCUGUCUCUUAUAC
rnacentral:rRNA from 1 species